CCGCUGUUGAACUGAACCUUACUAGUUCGCAAUUGCUCGAGGAAAUGCCCAACGGGCGCUUAGUUCGGAAGUACUAGUACGUGUUGAGCAUGACAGCCGGCCGGCUGGUGACAAAGAAACAAUUAAUCAUGAAAAUAACAGCUUCAUUCAACCCGGCCUGAAGACGAAGAAGAAGAUGCAUGGAUGCAGGAAACCAACGAUCGAUGACAAAUUAAGGUGAACUGAGCCUAUCUCAGGCGGCCUGAUUUCUUGUGGUGGAACCAACCCAUUCAGUGGUAGGUGACGUACCCAUCAAUAGCGACAGGGGCGGAGCUACAUAGCCUCUGCACAGGCACCAGGUUCCAGAUUUUUUUUUUACUAGCAAUCAGGAUAAAAGUUUGCAAUGUGCACCAGGUUAGAUGAAGAAAAGUGCACUAUGUCCUGAAAAUUCGUAGUGUAAGCAACCCAAGAAGACUAUUGUGCACCAGUUCAUUCUUU